UACGGAGGGAGCUAGCGUUGUUCGGAAUUACUGGGCGUAAAGGGCGCGUAGGCGGUGUGUCAAGUCAGGCGUGAAAGCCCCGGGCUCAACCUGGGAACCGCGCUUGAGACUGGCACGCUCGAGUUCGGGAGAGGAUGGUGGAAUUCCCAGUGUAGAGGUGAAAUUCGUAGAUAUUGGGAAGAACACCGAUGGCGAAGGCAGCCAUCUGGACCGACACUGACGCUCAUGCACGAAAGCGUGGGGAGCAAACAGG
rnacentral:rRNA from 1 species